UAAUGACUAAACCCGGUCCGGCCCGGCCUAACUAAUCUGAUCCUCGAAAAUCGAAAACGCCACUGCCGGGCAGUGAGAUUUUACACCGUAUGUUUCGCGUUCCGGCAGCCGUACAAGGUCUUAUGAGACGGCACAUUUAUUCACCACUUAAUAGCUACUAACAUUGCUCCUGCUGAUACAGCUAUCUCUAAUAUUCCUUGUGGCCCUGUCAAGCUCUUCACUACCAGGUGUGUUUUAGCAGAGCUGAAAAGACUCGGGAAAUCUUAUACUGAAUCUCUUCAGGCAGCUAACAGGCUUAUGAUUGCAAGGUGUGAUCAUGAACAAAUGAAGAGUGCAGAGGGUUGCAUUGUGGAGAUUAUUGGAGAAUAUAACCCUGACCACUUCCUUGUUGGUACCCAGGACACUGACAUGCGGAAGAAGUUCCAGGAGAUUGGCAGCUUAGCUUCUGCUGUUUUCAAUUGACCAGCUAUCAUAUUGGAACAGGCCCGCGCAGUAGCCAGGUUAGCUGGUGAAAAUAAUUGGUCCCAGGUGUCCCUCUCAUAUUUGGUCUGAGAAAUGCCCUCUUUCUUGAGCCACCAUCUGCAUUUCAGCAGCAGCUUGCCAAAAAUUCUGAAGAACAGUCACAUAUGUCCGAAUUUGAAGCUAUGUUCUUAAAAAAGAGGACUAAGAACUUGUUGGAAAUUCAGGAAACUGGUGGUUAUUCUGAUGAAAAGAGAUCCAAAAAUGAAAAUUUGGAAAUAGAGCCUAAGAGAUAUACUGCAAGAAAGGGAAUGAAUGUCAAGGAUAGACCUCAAAUCAAGUGAAAGAGAGCUAAGUUAUGUUGCCCGCUUCAAGCUUGUUUAUUAUCAACAUUUCUAAUCCAUAAGAAGAACUGCUUGAAGGAGUCUAUAGGUUCUAAAUCCACUUUCAGUCCAGAAGAAAAAGAAUUGUCAAAACUCGAAUUCCAUUUCCGGGAAGGGUUUUGUUUUGUGCAAAAAAAUGAGUGAGGAACACGAAGACCAAGAACAAGUGUUGUUUUUAGAGGAGGGAAAGAAGAAAAAGUUAAAGAAUGAAGCAGAAAAGGCUCAAAAGCAUGGUGUUCGUUACAUAAGUAGAGUUCCUCCUGGUGAGAAGAAGCGGUCACAAUUCUAUUAUGAUCAUUGGAAUAUCAAGUAUCUAAGUAAAUUCAAAUGGGAUAAUCUUACGGACAAAAUUGCUUACGAGAAAGUUAUUCGAGAACAAAAAUUAGCGUUAGAAAUUUCUGCUGCAAAGAGGGAGCGGGAUUUCUAUCUCAAAAAAGUUGACCAGUCUUGUGCUUUAAGCUCUAUUGAAGAACGAAUGAAGAAGGACUACAAUACUCAAGUUCCUUAUAGGCCAGUUUAAGUAUGUUUGGCACAAUAGUUGGGCAGUAUGGCUAGCUUAGAAUCAGUUGAAGCCAGAUAUUUUCAUUGUGAAUCUGAAAUUUGUUUGUAGGCUCCUUUUGUUUUGUAAGAGUUAGCCUCCUUGCCUCAGUAGCAUGACACUUUCAUGAUGAGUUAUGGUAUGGACACAGCUGAGACGCAAUGCCAUGCGUCAACUCCUUCUAUAUGGUUGAAAUUAAUUAUGUCAUUGAAAUUUGAUUAAAAGAAGAAGCAAAAGGCCCAACAAGAAACCAACGGUUUUCCAACAAUUCUCACAAAAAAAACCAAUUGCUGAAAGAGAGAGAAGCAAACCUCAACUCUCUAAAGAUGUCCUGGCAGGAAUGAGUCGUUAUUUGUAGGUAACAACUUUCAUCACCUAAUCUAUUCCUUGGAUCUAAGUUUUGCUGCUGCAUGCGGGUAUUUGGUGGUUCAUAGUGAUGGGUUGCGAGCAUGUCACUUUAUGCUCAAGACGAGGAGCUUAUGUGGUAACAUUUAUUGCUUUGCUCUCCCAUAUGCAUGCGAUGCAUUUUGAUGCGUGCAAAGCUCACAAUUUUGAUACUGUUUUUAACAUUUGAUGAUUUGAUCAAAAUGAAGUAACUCAUCAACAAUAGUCUUGUAAGAUCAUAUGGGCAACCUGUGUAUUUUACAACCAUCUAUCUGUUUUAAGAUCAUUAUUUUGCUCAUGGAGUGCCUGCCGGUGGUGUGCUCUUUCAGCCUUUACAGGGCACCCAGGCUUUUGUAAAUUUGGAUGCAAGAUAUUGGUAAUAAGGCAGCGUGCCGUCAGUGAAUAGAUGAUUCCCCCGAACCAGGCUGCAAUCAUCUACACGUUCAAUUGCAUCAGUUGCUUGGUGCAGAAUCUAUUUGAGGUCAAGGAUCUCUCUCUAGCGUAUGCUGACUGUAUGGAGGAAGCCCCAUGUCUCACGGCAUCUUUGUAAAUCUAAAGGAGAAGAGUCACUCCGGUCUAUGUUUGUACCCAUAAUUGGAUUCAAAUACCUUUGACCUCAAAUGCACCGAGGCGUGCCAGCUGCUUUUGUAUUAAAAGAAAUUUACCCUUUACAUUCCCGAACUAUUUUUUUAGGAGAUCAAUAGCAGUUGAAGCAACGAUUCACUUCCGUAA